AUGGACCUCCUCCAAAACGCGGAGGUGGACCUCGGAGCUCCGGCUCUAGACCCCUUUAGGGUUGGUGACGACUUGGAGGAAGAUGAGGAAGAUGAGGAGGAUGACGGGGAUGACGAGGAGGAGGUUGCCGAGAUAGGGGAGGAGGCAUUCACCGCCGGUUCCCGCCCACACGCGCGGUCGACAAACUACACCGAGGCGGAAGAUAUCCUCUUGGUUCGUGCUUGGGCAGCUGUGGGGAUGGAUGCAAGCACCAACACCGAUCAAACCGGUAAACGGUAUUGGCAAAGGAUCGAGGACACCUAUUGUAGGAUCAAGCCGAAGAAUAGUGGGUUCAUCUCUCGCACUUACCGGUCGCUUCAAGGCCGGUGGGAGUUGAUGAAGCCCGCUUGUGCUUGUUGGAGUGCGGCCAUGGACCAAGUGAGGGAUGCACCACCUAGUGAAACCGUGGAGAGUGACUAUAAGACAAUUGCCGGCAUGAGAUACAAGGAGAUGGCCGCUUCCAAGGGCAAGCCAUUCCCAUUUAGGCAUGCUUGGGCAAUUCUUCAAACCUUUGACAAGUGAAAGUUGAGGGAUCAAGAGACCGCACCCAAGAAGUCGGCAAUGCUUAGGAUGGAUGAUAGUGAAGAUGAGGAGGAGAGGAACUUGGGCAAGCCCGAGGGAAACAAGAAGCGCAAGCUAAGGGUGAAGAUGGAAGGAGAGGCGUCAAGCCUAAGGGAGAAGAUGGAGCACAUGAUGAAGGCAAGAGAGGAAUUGACAACGAAGACAUUGGAGACGAAGCUUCUUAUCAUCGAGAAGAAGAAGAAAGAGGUCAAGCUUGCACAAGUUGAAGCAAAAUGUGAAGAAGCAAAGCACAAGGCCGACUUGGAGGAGAGGAUAAUCAAUCUCAAAGAGGCAAAGGUAUGGAAGGAACUCAUGGUGGAAGAGAAGGAGCACAUGAUGAUGUCCAAGAAGGACAUGGAUCAAGACCAAUUGCAAUGGUGGAAGGACUACAAGGAGGACAUCGCGAAGAGGAAUAGGAUGUUCCGUUGUGCGUACUCUACUUUUCGAGGUGACACUUCGAUGAGUAGUUGUGGCGAUGACGGUGUGGACGACUCCGCCGGCGCCUAUGGAGAUACUUGA
rnacentral:rRNA from 1 species